GGCUCGGUAGCUCAGUUGGUAGAGUAAUGGAUUGAAGCUCCAUGUGUCGGCGGUUCGAUUCCGUCUCGCGCCA
rnacentral:tRNA from 1 species